rnacentral:rRNA from 1 species
GACGAACGCUGGCGGCGUGCUUAACACAUGCAAGUCGAACGGAAAGGCCCUGCUUUUGUGGGGUGCUCGAGUGGCGAACGGGUGAGUAACACGUGAGUAACCUGCCCUUGACUUUGGGAUAACUUCAGGAAACUGGGGCUAAUACCGGAUAGGAUCUCCUGCUGCAUGGUGGGGGUUGGAAAGUUUCGGCGGUUGGGGAUGGACUCGCGGCUUAUCAGCUUGUUGGUGGGGUAGUGGCUUACCAAGGCUUUGACGGGUAGCCGGCCUGAGAGGGUGACCGGCCACAUUGGAACUGAGAUACGGCCCAGACUACUACGGGAGGCAGCAGUGGGGAAUAUUGCACAAUGGGCGGAAGCCUGAUGCAGCAAAGCCGCGUGCGGGAUGACGGCCUUCGGGUUGUAAACCGCUUUCGCCUGUGACGAAGCGUGAGUGACGGUAAUGGGUAAAGAAGCACCGGCUAACUACGUG